rnacentral:rRNA from 1 species
CCUACGGGUGGCAGCAGUGGGGAAUAUUGGACAAUGGGCGAAAGCCUGAUCCAGCCAUGCCGCGUGUGUGAAGAAGGCCUUCGGGUUGUAAAGCACUUUCAGUGGGGAAGAAAGCCUUGGGGCUAAUACCCUCGAGGAAGGACAUCACCCACAGAAGAAGCACCGGCUAACUCCGUGCCAGCAGCCGCGGUAAUACGGAGGGUGCGAGCGUUAAUCGGAAUUACUGGGCGUAAAGCGCGCGUAGGCGGUCUGAUAAGCCGGUUGUGAAAGCCCCGGGCUCAACCUGGGAACGGCAUCCGGAACUGUCAGGCUAGAGUGCAGGAGAGGAAGGUAGAAUUCCCGGUGUAGCGGUGAAAUGCGUAGAGAUCGGGAGGAAUACCAGUGGCGAAGGCGGCCUUCUGGACUGACACUGACGCUGAGGUGCGAAAGCGUGGGUAGCAAACGGGAUUAGAUACCCCAUAGUC